rnacentral:rRNA from 1 species
GUGAGGAAUAUUGGACAAUGGGCGCAAGCCUGAUCCAGCCAUGCCGCGUGCAGGAAGACGCGUCUAUGGUGUGUAAACUGCUUUUGUACGGGAAGAAACACUCCCUCGUGAGGGAGCUUGACGGUACCGUAAGAAUAAGGAUCGGCUAACUCCGUGCCAGCAGCCGCGGUAAUACGGAGGAUCCAAGCGUUAUCCGGAAUCAUUGGGUUUAAAGGGUCCGUAGGCGGUUUAAUAAGUCAGUGGUGAAAGCCCAUCGCUCAACGAUGGAACGGCCAUUGAUACUGUUAGACUUGAAUUACAAGGAAGUAACUAGAAUAUGUAGUGUAGCGGUGAAAUGCUUAGAUAUUACAUGGAAUACCAAUUGCGAAGGCAGGUUACUACUUGUGGAUUGACGCUGAUGGACGAAAGCGUGGGGAGCGAACAGGAUUAGAUACCCGUGUAGUCC